rnacentral:rRNA from 1 species
UACGGAAGGCAGCAGUGGGGAAUAUUGCACAAUGGGCGCAAGCCUGAUGCAGCCAUGCCGCGUGUAUGAAGAAGGCCUUCGGGUUGUAAAGUACUUUCAGUCGUGAGGAAGGUGUUAAGGUUAAUAACCUUAGCAAUUGACGUUAGCGACAGAAGAAGCACCGGCUAACUCCGUGCCAGCAGCCGCGGUAAUACGGAGGGUGCGAGCGUUAAUCGGAAUUACUGGGCGUAAAGGGCACGCAGGCGGUUAAUUAAGUUGGAUGUGAAAUCCCCGGGCUUAACCUGGGAAUGGCAUUCAAGACUGGUUAGCUAGAGUCUUGUAGAGGGGGUAGAAUUCCAUGUGUAGCGGUGAAAUGCGUAGAGAUGUGGAGGAAUACCGGUGGCGAAGGCGGCCCCUGGACAAAGGCUGACGCUCAUGUGCGAAAGCGUGGGGAGCAAACGAGGAUUAGAU